CAAGCCAUGUUUAGAUAUGUGUUGCUCGGAAACCGUCUCACUGUUCAAUACUGCAUGCUCCAAAUAGUUUCAAUUAACUGUUCUUUCUUUCUUUCUUUCCUUCCUUCUUUCUUUCUUUCUCUUUUUUUUUUCUGGUGAUAUCUGCUGGCAUCUGCAUUGCUUUUGGUGAGUUAUUACUUCGUGGAUUUACAGAUGUUACAACCCCAUCCCCCCUUGCUUCCAGAAAACGACACAUCUGUGUGAAAUGGACUGUCAGCAACAGGAUAGCACUCUGAGUACAGAAGCUUUGAAUCAGGCCGGCAGACAGGAACUGGAGCUUUGGAUCCUACAAGAUGGUGGGAGAGAACGGACUACAGAGAUGUUAAUUCUGGGGGUGUAUGUAUGCUAUGGCACCCCUGCCCAGUAAAGUAAAUAAAUCAAUGAAACAUU